rnacentral:ncRNA from 1 species
GUGUUGUAGGAAAGGAGAGAAGAUUAACACUCCCCUGGACAAGGGUGGAAGAGGCUUUGGCCUGCAAAACAUACACUGUUAAGGCAUUGCCACCUACUUUGUGGCAUCUAACUGAUGUUUUUC